rnacentral:rRNA from 1 species
AGUGGGGAAUUUUGGACAAUGGGGGCAACCCUGAUCCAGCCAUUCCGCGUGAGUGAAGAAGGCCUUCGGGUUGUAAAGCUCUUUCGGCAGGAACGAAACGGUAGUUACUAAUACUAGCUGCUAAUGACGGUACCUGAAGAAGAAGCACCGGCUAACUACGUGCCAGCAGCCGCGGUAAUACGUAGGGUGCGAGCGUUAAUCGGAAUUACUGGGCGUAAAGCGUGCGCAGGCGGUUUUGUAAGACAGAUGUGAAAUCCCCGGGCUUAACCUGGGAACUGCGUUUGUGACUGCAAGACUUGAGUGCGGCAGAGGGGGGUGGAAUUCCGCGUGUAGCAGUGAAAUGCGUAGAUAUGCGGAGGAACACCGAUGGCGAAGGCAGCCCCCUGGGUCGACACUGACGCUCAUGCACGAAAGCGUGGGGAGCAAACAGGAUUAGAUACCCUGGUAGUCCACGCCCUAAACGAUGCCAACUAGGUGUUGGGGAAGGAGACUUCCUUAGUACCGUAGCUAACGCGUGAAGUUGGCCGCCUGGGAANUACGGUCGCAAGAUUA